CUGUGGCACGGCGUUCAUGUUCACGGAUCAUUGUGUUGUCGGCCAUUUUCAACGCGCGUUGCCUACUUGCCCAGUUAACCAAACUCUCUCCUGUGUUUUGUGUCCGGCGGCAUAGUCCUUUUUUUCCAUUCGUAUAUCACGUUUUGCACCCUUUACAUACCUGUCACGUACCUGUUCACGUCGCGCCGGAAACCCGUAAACUUCUUCGUCACACAAUUCUACGCAGCCGAUCUACUGUUUCCGAGUCUUGUGUAAGCAUUAAGCGCGGAACGCUGUCAAGUCAAAACAUUUAUCACGCCGAAAACAAAUCUGUUAUUAUUUUGCCGUUUCGUUGUGUUCUUAGUAAUCGUCAGUGAACCGUCGUUUCCCGAACAAUAUGUCUUCAACCGAAAUGAAUGAUGGUGCCAACGGAGAAAUGUCUUCUGAAUCCAAGCCAAACGAAUACGUGUCGGCCCUGGUCAAAGAAAAGUAUGCUCUGGAUGCUUCUACCCAUUUAAACACAAUGAAACUCAUCGACGAAGAAAUUGCCAGAGCACAAAACACCAACGGCAAACCAGAAUCUACUUAUUUGGACAUAAAUAGUGAUAAACCUAUUCGGCUAACUGCCAAAAUUAUGGUUCCAGCAAAAGAAUUCCCAAGGUUCAACUUUGUUGGUAAGCUAUUGGGACCUAAGGGAAACUCUUUAAAACGUCUCCAAGAAGAUACUAUGACCAAAAUGGCAAUAUUGGGCAAAGGAUCAAUGCGCAACAAAGAAAAAGAAGAUGAAAUGAGAAGUUCAUUAAAUCCAAAAUUUGCGCACCUUGCUGAUGAACUUCAUGUGCAAGUUACUGCUUAUGCUCCCCCUGCUGAAGCUUAUGCUCGUCUCGCUUAUGCACUUGCAGAACUUAGAAAGUUUUUGAUACCCGACCAUAAUGAUCAAAUUGCACAAGAACAAGCACGUGAAAUGCAACAAUUUGGAGGUGCUCCUCCUGUUCGUCAUCCAGGACCAAUAAUUCAUGCUCCACCACCUCCACCUGCAGUAAUUCGCCAAAUGCCACCUCAGCCACCUCGUAUGCCCAGAGCUCCAGUGCCCGGAAAAGCCAAAGUAAUGAGCAUAUUGGAUAGAGCUCGAUCAGCAAUGGAAGGAUCAAAUGCUUAUCCUGGUAAUGGUGGAUAUGGCGAUUCUGGUUCAUCUCAUUAUUCUCAUUUUGAUUCUGGGUAUGGUGGUGUAGCAACAUACAAUGGAGGUGGUAAUGAUGAUUACUAUUCAGGAAAUUCAUACUCGCAAGAUAAUUCUCAAAGUGGUGGUGGACGUGGCUGGAAAAAUUACAAUACUGGCGGUAGUAGUGGGCCAUCCAAACCGACUGGUAAUCAAGGUAGUCGGUAUGGAGGUCGUAAUGCUCCAUAUACCAGACAAAAAUAACCAGGUAUUUGUCAGGACUAUUUCUAUUGUAAAUGAAUAUUGACAACAAAGAAAAAUAAUGGGUAGAAUAAUUUUUAAAUGUUUUGACGUUUCAUAAUUAUCUCAAAAAUAAUUUUCCACUUAGUAAAACAAAUUAAGAUUAUCUUAUAUAUAUUUUUUUUUUUUUUUUAUAUAUACAUAUAUAAAAUAUAAAAGUAUUGUAAAUCCAAAAAUAAGUUGUGUAUUACAUGGGAUGUUGAAUUCCAAAUCAUAUUUUUCUUAAGAUAAAACAUAAUUUAAACAUAAUUGUGUAAGGAAUAAAAUUUUAAUAAAUAAAUUUGUACAAUGAAGUGUAAAAUACAAAUUCUGCACAAAACCUCUUGAUUAGAUUAUUAUUAUAACUUUAUAUCAAAUAUUGUUGGGCUACUUAUUUUACUAUUUUUUUUUUAAAUAUGAAUUUAUCUAUAGGAAUAUGUUUAUAAUUUUUUGAUGUAUUUUUGAUUACUUUUUAUAGAUACUUAGAUCAUACAUUGUUACUAAAGGAUAGCACCACUGCCACAAUAUAUUUUUAUUCAAUAAAUAAUAGUAAUUACUAUUAAUAAAAUAUUUGAGUUCCUUUACUUUUAUAAUAUCAAAAAAAUAAUUGGAUAAUAAAAUAAAUUUGUAUACAAAUAAUUAUUUUUUAAUACUAAAUUGCAUUUAUAAGAAUUAAAAACUCAAUCACUAAAGUUAUUAAUUAAACAUCAAUAGUUAAAAAUUAAUAAAAACAAAAUUAAAUAUUAGGACAAUAAUAAAAAAAUUCUAUUGUGGCAGAGGUAACAAUCCGCUUAAAAUAAAAUUCACCUGUUGCUUGCUGCUAAUAUUACAGAUGCUGAUUUAUUAUAAAAGUUAAAAUUUAAAUUUCAACCCAGUGAUGAUUGAUGAUUAUUAUAAUAAUAAUAACAAACCAAUUGACUACUAUAAUAUUUUUAAUUAAUAAUUAUUAUUUUAUUAUAUUUAUAUGUUUGAAUAAACCUUAAUAGAACCAUUGGAUUCAUUUUAAAAUGUCACUUAUAUAAUAUUAUGUAAUUACUAAUUAAUAAAUUUGAAGAAAUAUUUGUAGUAUUUAUUGUUUUAUACAGUUAUUAUUUACUUAUUUAUUAUUAUUAUUAUUUUUUUUUUUUUAUCAUUUUAUUAUAAAAACAUGGAUUACGUGUAAUCCAAUGCUAUCGAUAGAUGUUUAGAUUUAUAAUAAUAUUGUAGUUAGUUAGGUACAACAAAAUUUAUAUAAAAUAAAAACUUACAAAAAAUAAAAUAAAAUAUUUAUAAUUUACUUGAUCUUACUUUACAUAUUAUAUUAUACUACUUAUUCACAAUAUCUACUAUUGAUAUAAAUAGUUAUUGUAUACAUGUAUGUUAUGGAUGAUGUGCAUAUUGUGAGUUUUGUCAACAUUUAAAUAGCCAAUACUAUAAAUUGUAUUCACAAGUUUUGGGAGUGUGAAAGUAAUUUGAGGUUAUCAAUUAUAAUUUAUAAUCAAAUUAAAUCCGAAAUUAAAUAUGUCUACUUAAUUUUGUGGAAAAACAUUUUCAAUUAUGAAUAUGUUGUACUUAGUUUCCACUAUGUCUUGCAUUAGAAUUAUUACUAAUGUUACAAUUAAUCAAAUUUUGUAUAGUUUAAUCGUUAUGUAUUUAUUGGUUUGAAGUGUUGUCUUUAGCUACAUGAGUAAAUAAUUGUGAAUAACUGUUAGUAUUGUUGACAGAUGUUAAUAUUAACCACAAUUUGCAUAUCAGCUGUAACAUAUUUAUGUACUCACGUCAACCUUACGAUAUUUUAUAAUUUGAUAAUUGAUAACAAUAAAGUUUCAGGUGAAUCCUUUUAACCAAAUAUUGCACGACCCAAACCUAAUUCCUCACCACGAAAUACAUUCACUGGAUAAAAAAAAACCUGAUAAAUCAUAAUAAUAACAUUUAAAUUGACCAUUAUGUUAUCGUUUUAGGAGUGUAUAUAUAUAUAUAUAUACCAUGACAUUUAUGACAUAAAUUAACUUCCAGCAAACGAAAACCAAUAUAAAGAGGAGUGGAGAUGCUCUAAAAAGCGCAUAAAUUAUUAUCAUGUCGAUUGCCGAUGAUACAGGCGGGCUUGGAAUCCCUAUUUUAGAGAUUAAUUCUCUAAUUUUGUUAAAAAAAAAAAAAAUGUGGUGAGGUCUAUUGCACUUCACUAUACAUAAUAUAUUUAACCUGGAAAGUGAUAAUAUUUUUAUAGGAACACAUAUUAUAUUCUUAUAAUUAUAUUAAAAUUGUGGUAAGUUGUUUUGAAAUUUAAUAAUGUCAAAUGUUUACUGUAACUAACUUGUUGCCUUUGACAAAAAAAAAAAAAAAAAAAAAAUAACAUACAAAAGUUAUAAAUAACUAUAAACUCAGUAAUACAUCAAUAAUAUGAAGGAAAAAAAGAAAUCAAAAUUGAAUGAAAAUAUUUAAAUAACAGGAGAAUCUGGUUCCACUACAUACAUAUUCAUUGAUUCUUAGAACAAAGGUUGGACAACUUCCUCAAGUACAACAUAUUUAUUUUUAUUUUUGUUAUUUAUGAUUUAUUAUUGUUUUAAUUUGUGGUAAUGCAAUCCUACUAUCGAAAAGACUGACCAUAAAUGUGUAUCGGUUAAUUGUAAUAUUUUUUACUUUUGUAAUUUUUAUUGUUAUUAUUAUUUUAUUUUUAGUACAAUAAAAACUAGUCAAUUAUUUACUUAAAA